rnacentral:rRNA from 1 species
UACGUAGGGUGCAAGCGUUAAUCGGAAUUACUGGGCGUAAAGCGUGCGCAGGCGGUUUUGUAAGUCUGACGUGAAAUCCCCGGGCUCAACCUGGGAAUUGCGUUGGAGACUGCAAGGCUAGAAUCUGGCUGAGGGGGGUAGAAUUCCACGUGUAGCAGUGAAAUGCGUAGAGAUGUGGAGGAACACCGAUGGCGAAGGCAGCCCCCUGGGUCAAGAUUGACGCUCAUGCACGAAAGCGUGGGGAGCAAACAGG